CUGCUGCCUCCCGUAGGAGUUUGGACCGUGUCUCAGUUCCAAUGUGGGGGACCUUCCUCUCAGAACCCCUA
rnacentral:rRNA from 1 species